GGCGAGGUAGCUCAGGUGGUUAGAGCGCAGGAUUCAUAACCCUGAGGUCGGGGGUUCAAGUCCCCCUUUCGCUACGA
rnacentral:tRNA from 1 species